rnacentral:rRNA from 1 species
UACGUAGGUGACCAGCGUUGUCCGGAUUUACUGGGCGUAAAGAGCGCGCAGGCGGUCGUUCAAGUCGAGUGUGAAAGCCCCCGGCUCAACUGGGGAGGGUCACUCGAUACUGAUCGACUUGAAGGCAGGAGAGGGAAGCGGAAUUCCCGGUGUAGUGGUGAAAUGCGCAGAUAUCAGGAGGAACACCAAUGGCGAAGGCAGCUCGCUGGAACGGUACUGACGCUGAGGCGCGAAAGCGUGGGGAGCAAACAGG